UAAAUAGCAUAUUCAAAAGCAGAGACAUUACUUUGCCGACUAAGGUCCGUGCUGUAGUCCAUGGGGUUGUGAAGAGUUGGGCAUAACUAAGCAACUGAAGCAAACUGAACAGAACUGAACUAAGAACAAACCAUAACAUGCCCCUGCCCCCAAAUAUUUUUUAAAACUAUCUUUGUUGGAAGAUAGGGAAAUUCGUCAAGACACACAUGUAUAAUGGAAAGAACUUUGUCAAGAUCUAGAUAUUAGGUCUGCAGUUUAGCAACAGCAAGGCUUAGGGCAAGUCUCUUAACUUCUGUCUUCAUUUAUUACAGGAUGAGGGUUCCAUCUCUAAUAUUUGCUGGCAAUGAUAUCUUUCCUGUUGACCUGAUAGACCAGCUGUUGCAUCAGAUUCUCAAGGGGCUUCAUGAUCCAAUACACAGGUGAGCUGCUGCUACUGGCUUCAGCCCUGAAUUCUCUUCAAGGGAAAAAAUCUGAUGAAAUACCUGCAGGGGAGUCACAGGUUGGCAGGCCAGUGAAACAUCCCUUCGUUAGUAGGAAUUGCUUAGUGUAUUCCCUGCAAUUCCUUCACAGGAGGAAUCCCACAAAGAGAGAGAGGAUUGAGUUCUCAGUUUUGUUUUGUUUAAUUUUUAUUUUAUAUUGGGGUAUGGGCUUCCCAGGUGGCACUGGUGGUAAAGAAUCUGCCUGCCAAUGCAGAAGAUGCAAGAGUUUACAGUGUUGUGACUCCAUUUUGAUGGAAAAAUUUGGUUCAGGUUAUGCAGACCAAGACAGGUAUAAGGGAGAGAAAGUAUUCAUCAAGUUAUUUCUGCUCAAAUUAUUCCUCCUUAUACUAUAUCAAGAACAAAACAAACAAAACAAGAAAUCUUGCCAAUUAUAGACUCAUCUCAAAAAUAAUAAUCCUAUCACAACUCCACCAGGAAAUCCUCUUGACUUGCCCGCCAAAGUAUAUUGAAGUAUAUUGACUUCAGAGUUAACUUCUUUGACGUCAUUGUUGCCAUAUUGGUCCAAGCCACCAUCAUCUUUCUCCCCUGGAUUUCUGCCAUGGACUCUCAACCAUUCACUUGCCUCUGCUCCAUGUACUGGGUGAAACAAUGCUUCGCAGUGUAAAUUGGGUCAUGUCACAACUCUGCUCAAUGCCCCCAAUGCCUUCUCACAAAAGCCAAAGUCCUUACUGCUGCUGCUGCUGCUAAGUUGCUUCAGUCAUGUCCAAUUCUGUGCGAC
rnacentral:lncRNA from 1 species